UAACGGCCUACCACGGCGACGAUGGGUAGCUGGUCUGAGAGGACGAUCAGCCACACUGGGACUGAGACACGGCCCAUACUCCUACGGGAGGCAGCAGUUAGGAAUUUUCCGCAAUGGGCGAAAGCCUGACGGAGCAACGCCUCGUGUGUGAUGAAGGCCUUCGGGUUGUAAAGCACUGUCGGAGGGGAAGAAUAAUGACGGUACCCUCCAAGAAAGCCCCGGCUAACUACCUGCCAGCAGCCGCGGUAAUGCGUAGGGGGCGAGCGUUAUCCGUAUUUACUGGUCGUAAAGCGCGUUAAGGCGGUCGGCAAAGUUGGUGGUGAAAUUUCAGGGCUCAACCCUGAAACUGCCUCCAAUACUGGUCGGCUUGAGUGCGAUAGAGGAAGGUGGAAUUCCCGGUGUAGUAGUGAAAAUG
rnacentral:rRNA from 1 species